UUUCAGUUUUAUAUGGAGGCAUGUUAGAGGUACCUUAUCUGUUCUCUCCUAGAAGUCCACGAAAAUCCCUUUGAAAAUGUACCAGUACUGUAUAUUUUUUAAUUGCAGCAGUUCUGAUAAGCAGGCUACGGGGAAGACCAUAUGCUCGACUCCGGGAGGAUUUCCACAAACUGCCACGUCGGUGGUGCUGGAUUGAGAAGCACAGUUGUGGACUCUGUUUGCUCCACCCUGUGCCUCGGAAAAGUACACAUCAUCUGGCAGAAAAAGCUGUUACCAUCACAGCCUGUUCCUAGCUCAGAGAUUCCAACCAGAAAGCCAGGCAGCCACAUUCCUUUCUGCAUGAGGGCAAUAUUUCUUAGGCAGCCAGAUUAGGGUUCUCCUUUUCUUUCUUCUCUCUUCCUUCUUGAUUAGAGACUACAGGCCUUAGUAGAAACUGUGCCAGGGGGUGUGAUACAGUGCAGUGCAUUGUUAGAGCAUAAUUGGCAGUGGUGCAUUUGCAUUGGGAUUGUAAGCAUGACAGAUGGAGGCAGAGAGGAGAGAUUGGAAAUACGAGUGAGUGAGUGUGCAUGGACGCGGGAGGGUGUGUGCCAGGGCUUCACAACUCAUCUUUGGAAAAGAGCUCCAUCUGUGUCUUCACUCCUCUUCCCAACAAAGAACUCCUUCUCAGCACCAUCUCAAGAGCUGGAAACAGAAUGGCUGCGACUACACAUAAGAUCAUAUGGUGUGGACUUGAGACAUGAUUGGUUUUAGGGCAGCAUCAGAACCGGAUGCUAGAUGCCACUAGGUGAUUCUUGGCUUGGAGAAAAGCAAGUGUCCCUUGGGCGGGAAUUUCUGGGUGUGAGACUUUUGCUAACACUCAAGGCGCCAUGGGACUUGCAUUGUUGGUGAGUAGCAGACAAGAACUUACACUUGGGGAUAUUCCUUCCCUUCCAGGGUGGGGAAAGAAAAUCCGGCUCCUUUUCAUGAGGGCUUCCUCUCCAAAGUCUAGUCUUCCUUUGAUCCGGGCCAGGAGUAGGAGGUGGGGUCCCUGCCUACGGUUGUACAGGUGGAGGGUUCAUUCCCAAAGGGUGAGUGCAGCUGGACUCUAGUCCAGGUCCUCCUCCCCAGGCUGGAUGUCAGAGCAAGGGCAAGGGCUGUGUCUGGCCGGAGGAAGGGGCACCUUUUAAAAACCCACACAAGGUCUCUGCUAGUUGUGACCCUGCCAGGUGGCACAUGCAAGGUCUCUGAGUCUUAAUGCCCUCCUUGACUUCAGUAAACUGGGUACUGGCAUGAUAGAAAGAGGGAAAAUAGAAUGAAAUUUGGGAAGAAUUCUGUUUACUGCUGCAUUUUCCGAGAGUUGGAAAUCCUUGUUUUCCUGACAAUAAUUGAGCCUCAGGAAGAGCCCACCCAUGUGACCUUCUCUAGGCUGUGAUCUCUUACCCAUUGGACAAACAAAUUCCUUAUCACCUUGUGUUUUGUCAGUCCUCUUAUUUGCCAAUUACCACUUCAUCAACUAGACUUGCUAACUGCCUGAGGCCAACGUAUCUGGUGUCUCUUAAUUAACUAGUUGUAGACAGCUAAUUACUUUACUGCCGUAUCUCAUCAGUAUACAAAGUAUAUUGACUUUAAGUUGGGAAAUGCCUCUGAGGCGUUACAAAACUUCUCUUAGAAGAGAGACCUUAAAUACCCCCAUCCAAGAGCUCAGAAGGAAGGGGAGAAGGGAGAAGCUGGCAGGAAACAAGCUUGAAAGAGGUGAUGUUUCACUUUUCAUUCCAAUCCCUUUCCUAUGUCAAAAUGAUCUC
rnacentral:lncRNA from 1 species